CAGCUUGCAAGAGAUAUAUGCAAUAUCUGCACCCAACAAAGGUGCAGACCAAAAGCCCAAGCAUCCCAUGAAGGGACGGGGUUGGUCAGCCAGUGUCACAUCCUCUGAUGGCAUCACCUGGUGUGGUCUGCACCCACUUAAUGACACCACUUCUUAAUAUGAUUGCAUUUUACCUUGGUUCCUUUUCACGGAUUUUCGAUUAGAUAUUGAGUUCAUGCAUUCGUUGUAUUCCAG